rnacentral:rRNA from 1 species
AUUGAACGCUGGCGGCAGGCCUAACACAUGCAAGUCGAACGAGUGGCGGACGGGUGAGCAAUGACUGGGAAACUGCCUGAUGGAGGGGGAUAACUACUGGAAACUGUAACUAAUACCGCAUAACAUCAGAUGUGUCGAGAUGGGAUUAGCUGGUGGGUGGGGUAAAGGCUGACCAAGGCGACGAUCCCUAGCUGGUCUGAGAGGAUGACCAGGCAUACUGGAACUGAGACACGGUCCAGACUCCUACGGUAGGCAGCAGUGGGGAAUAUUGCACAAUGGGCGCAAGCCUGAUGCAGCCAUGCCGCGUGUAUGAAGAAGGCCUUCGGAUUGUAAAGUACUUUCAGCGGGGAGGCGUUACCCACAGAAGAAGCACCGGCUAACUCCGUGCCAGCAGCCGCGGUAAUAC